GAGGGUAGGCCCCUCGAAGUCGGCUUGCAGGAGCAGGCUUCAAACCGCCACGAGCUGCAUUGGUCAAGAGCCAUUGUGGUGAACGUCGAUGGAAAAGGCGGAGCAAGACUCCGUCAGGU
rfam:Bradyrhizobium erythrophlei strain GAS478 genome assembly, contig: Ga0132009_14